GAUGAACGCUGACAGAAUGCUUAACACAUGCAAGUCGAUUCGAUUUACCUUCGGGUAUUGAGGAUGGCGGACGGGUGAGUAACGCGUAAGGAACUUGCCUCUUGGACUGGGGACAACUGUUGGAAACGACAGCUAAUACCGGAUAUUAUGAGAUUCUCGCAUGGGAAACUUAUGAAAGCUAUAUGCGCCAAGAGAGAGCCUUGCGUUCCAUUAGCUAGUUGGUGGGUAACGGCCACCAAGGCGACGAUGGAUAGCCGGACCUGAGAGGGUGAACGGCCACAAGGGGACUGAGACACGGCCCUUACUCCUACGGGAGGCAGCAGUGGGGGAAUAUUGGACAAUGGGCCACAAGCCUGAUCCAGCAAUUCUGUGUGCACGAUGAAGGUCUUCGGAUCGUAAAGUG
rnacentral:rRNA from 1 species